AGGUUACUGCUAUCGAGGUUCGACUAAGCCAUGCGAGUCGAAUGUAGCAAUACAUGGCGUACUGCUCAGUAACACGUGGACAACCUACCCUUAGGCCUGGGAUAACCCCGGGAAACUGGGAAUAAUACCGGAUAUCUCGCGAAUGCUGGAAUGCGUCGCGAUAGAAAGCUCCGGCGCCUAAGGAUGGGUCUGCGGCCUAUCAGGGUAGUAGUGGGUGUAACGUACCUACUAGCCUACGACGGGUACGGGUUGUGAGAGCAAGAGCCCGGAGAUGGAUUCUGAGACACGAAUCCAGGCCCUACGGGGUGCAGCAGGCGCGAAAACUUUACAAUGCUGGAAACAGCGAUAAGGGGACCUCGAGUGCCAGGAUACAAUCCUGGCUGUCGUAAUGCCUAAAAAGCAUUGCAUAGCAAGGGCCGGGCAAGACCGGUGCCAGCCGCCGCGGUAACACCGGCGGCUCGAGUGGUAACCGCUAUUAUUGGGUCUAAAGGGUCUGUAGCCGGCUGACUAAGUCUCUUGGGAAAUCUGACAGCUUAACUGUCAGGCUUUCAGGAGAUACUGAUCGGCUCGAGACCGGGAGAGGUGAGAGGUACCUCAGGGGUAGGGGUGAAAUCUUGUAAUCCUUGAGGGCCCACCAGUGGCGAAGGCGUCUCACCAGAACGGAUCUGACGGCAAGGGACGAAAGCUAGGGGCACGAACCGGAUUAGAUACCCGGGUAGUCCUAGCCGUAAACGAUACUCGCUAGGUGUCGGCCACGGUGCGACCGUGGUCGGUGCCGUAGGGAAGCCGUGAAGCGAGCCACCUGGGAAGUACGGCCGCAAGGCUGAAACUUAA
rnacentral:rRNA from 1 species